GGGCAUAUAGCUCAGUGGAUAGAGCACGUGGCUACGAACUACGGUGUCGGGGGUUCAAAUCCCUCUUUGCCCG
rnacentral:tRNA from 2 species